UACGGGGGGAGCAAGCGUUGUUCGGAUUUACUGGGCGUAAAGGGCGCGUAGGCGGCUUGUCAAGUCACUUGUGAAAUCUCUGGGCUUAACCCAGAACGGCCAAGUGAAACUGUCAUGCUAGAGUGCAGAAGGGGCAAUCGGAAUUCUUGGUGUAGCGGUGAAAUGCGUAGAUAUCAAGAGGAACACCUGAGGUGAAGACGGGUUGCUGGGCUGACACUGACGCUGAGGCGCGAAAGCCAGGGGAGCAAACGGG
rnacentral:rRNA from 1 species